rnacentral:tRNA from 1 species
GGCCUCGUAACUCAGCCGGUAGAUUGUCCGCUGUACCAAAGUGUAGGCAGUGCCCUUGUGUGGGUUCGAAUCCCACCGAGACUA